CUUGAUAACUUGUUAUUUAACAGCAUAUCUUUAAAAAUUCAAAAUGCAAAUACCUUAUGAAAAACAAUUUAAUUUGAAUCCUGCAUUAAGAGUAGUGAAGAUGACACAGAACGGUCUAUAAGAAGUACCAAAUCAUCAUAACCAGGCACAGUGCCAGAGCCUUUGGCUUCGUAACGUCGCCACUGGCUGACCAGAUUAUGGUAACAAAAAGUACAAACCAACGCAGAACCAUCUUCACGCAACUGCUCCGCAUUUGGUGGACUAACGUGCUUAAGUAAAUAGGGAAAGUAUGGAGCAUUCCUUCCUACAAUAUAGAAUAAAAGCAGACACUCCAUAGUGUGAACAAAGCAGAACGAGAACCUUGCCUAAUGUGAACAGUAUACUAAAUACAAACUAAAUCUUCGCUUAUAAAAACAGAUGUCCAUUGUCCUUCAUUCAUAUUACGCCGUUAGUUGCGCCACUGUAUCCCUUCGUAUAUCCCCAACAGAUUUGGUACUUCCCCAGUCACAUUAGGUAUAGGCAUUUUUUUAUUCGUGUAUUUACUUCAUAUAAGUACAUAGUUCAUUAUUAUGAUGAUGUAAAUGUAAUAACCCAAUGAACAAGAGUGACGUAAAUAAAUCCAUAGUGUCAACUA